UAAGAAAAUAUAUUUGGUUCUAUCGAGAUAAAGCGAAAUCAAUCUUUUCGAGAAGACCGGUAUACUUUUAUAGCUGGGAUUUCUUCAGCUGGAAUUGCAUACAAUCUUAUACCGUAUGCAAUGCUAGCUGAAGAGCUUUGCUAAACAGCGUAACAUAUUGGAUUAUAGAGAUUUGGCAGUAACAGACAAUAGAGGAAAGCGAGAAAUACAAAGAUGGAAAUGUACGAUUGGUUAGUAGUAAAGAAGUAAAGGAGAGCCUGUCCAUUUCUAACGAGAAGAAAACAGCGAAAGAUUUGAAGAACAGUUUGUCGAAGAAAAUGAAAAUGAUUAUCAAACUGCAACGCUGAAUUGAGAGGUAGCCUCAAAGUACAAGUACAUUACUACGAAGAUGGAAAUGUACAAUUGGCGAGUAGCUGCAUUUAGUAUUAUCGAUAGAGGGAAGCAAGAAAUACAAAGAUGGAAAUGUACAAUUGGUCAGUAGUAAAGAAGUAAAGGAGAGCCUGUCCAUUUCUAACGAGAAGAAAACAGCGAAAGAUUUGAAGAACAGUUUGUCGAAGAAAAUGAAAAUAAUUAUCAAACUGCAACGCUGUAUUGAGAGGUAGCCUCAAAGUACAAGUACAUUACUACAAUGAUGGAAAUGUACAAUUGAUACAGGGAAGCGA